AUGCAUAUGGACAUGAUUUUAGAAACCAUUUUUUCUUCCAUGGCUGCAUUUUAUCUUCAUUUUACCGAACUCUUAGACUACGUUCUAAGAAUGCCCCUCUUAAGAUGUUUUGGAGAUUUUUCUUUGAGAACUCCGCCCUUCAUAAAUGAAACAACCACAGUUUUGAGUGAUACAAACAUUCUCGGAUGGAUCAAGCAGCCACACAUGGCAUGCCAGCUAAGGUCAGUAUACAGUAUACACGGAACUCUGUCGCCAAGUGAUGACAUGUUUUUGGUAAUGCCCAGGUUGAACAAAUGCAAUUUAACAUUUUGA
rnacentral:rRNA from 1 species